rnacentral:rRNA from 1 species
UACGGGGGGGGCAAGCGUUGUUCGGAAUUACUGGGCGUAAAGGGCUCGUAGGCGGCCAACUAAGUCAGACGUGAAAUCCCUCGGCUUAACCGGGGAACUGCGUCUGAUACUGGAUGGCUUGAGUUUGGGAGAGGGAUGCGGAAUUCCAGGUGUAGCGGUGAAAUGCGUAGAUAUCUGGAGGAACACCGGUGGCGAAGGCGGCAUCCUGGACCAACACUGACGCUGAGACGCGAAAGCGUGGGGAGCAACAGG